rnacentral:rRNA from 1 species
UACAGAGGUCCCGAGCGUUGUUCGGAUUCACUGGGCGUAAAGGGUGCGUAGGUGGCCGGGCAAGUCCGAUGUGAAAUCUCCGAGCCCAACUCGGAAACGUCAUUGGAAACUGCCCGGCUCGAGGACUGGAGAGGGGACUGGAAUUCUCGGUGUAGCAGUGAAAUGCGUAGAUAUCGAGAGGAACACCAGUGGCGAAGGCGAGUCCCUGGACAGAUCCUGACACUGAGGCACGAAAGCUAGGGGAGCAAAC